rnacentral:lncRNA from 1 species
CAGGCCGCUGUCACUCGACGGCAAGGCCCGCUGCCGCGGGGGCGGGGGGCGGGGAGCUCUGCAGGCCGCUGUGGUGCAGGGGUGCGCGAGGGCGGGCGUCGCGGCUACCGUCUCACCUCCAUCCCGACGGCUGCGAGGCAGAAAGCGAAAGCGGACACGGAAGAUUUUGGGCCGAGUGAGGACUGUGGAGGCUACCAGAUGCCCACCUGUCGGAGGCCACCAGGCUGCCCUGUCCUGGGGCGACCCCACUCCUCACAACACCAGGACCCGAGACCGCUCCGGAGACCAGGAGAAAGCUUCGGUCAAUCAUGAGUACUACUGGGGAGUCAUGGGAGCAGGGGAGGCCAUGCUGAGAGCGUAACCCAGGAGCUCAGCAGGGCCUCUCAGAAGUGAGGACAGACUCUACCACCAUGGAGGACUGACCAGAAUGUGGGUAGCAUCUGCUAGUGGGGGACCAGAUUAAAUAGUGUGGAAGAAGGAAGACCACUUGCCCUUGUUGGCCUGGCCUGGCCUCUUGCUUGAAGCGUUGGACGAUGAUGAUGACGAUGACGACGAAGACGAUUCCUCCACUGAAAACAGAAGCAGCAGCCAUUUCAGGUUUCCAUCCUGGACCAAGGACCUUCAAGUCUCCAAGAACUUGCAGAUUUUUGGUGCAGGAUUGAUGACUACUGAGGCACCUCCAGGACCAGUCAGCUCCCGGAUUCCCAGCCUCGGUGUUGAGACUAUUUCAGAGUGAGCUGAUGACAUGCAUUCUCUAAUAUAUUUGGUAUAUAAAAUGUUUCAUAUUUAAUAUAGAAAAUGUGGGAUCCCAUCAAUUCUGUUCCUCCAGAAAAUUCCAGCUUACAGAGGACACAUGUGCACACCUGUGUGUGUGUGUCCUGUGGAGGUCAGAGGUCAGCCAUGGGCUUGUUCCUUGGAUGGCAUCCAUCUAUCUAGUUAUUUUAUUUUAUUUUAUUUUAUUUUAUUUUAUUUUAUUUUAUUUUAUUUUGAGCUAGCCUCU